GUCCACGCCGUAAACGAUGAAUACUUGGUGUUGGAGGUAUUGACCCCUUCAGUGCCGAAGCAAACGCGUUAAGUAUUCCGCCUGGGAAGUACGGCCGCAAGGUUAAAACUCAAAGAAAUUGACGGGGGCCCGCACAAGCGGUGGAGCAUGUGGUUUAAUUCGAUGCAACGCGCAGAACCUUACCUAGAUUUGACAUGUAUUGGAAGGAUCCUAGAAAUAGGUCCGCCUUCGGGCCGAUACACAGGUGCUGCAUGGCUGUCGU
rnacentral:rRNA from 1 species